GAUGAACGCUGGCGGCGUGCCUAACACAUGCAAGUCGAGCGAUCUUCUUCGGAAGAGAGCGGCGGACGGGUGAGUAACGCGUGGGUAACCUGCCCUGUACACACGGAUAACAUACCGAAAGGUAUGCUAAUACGAGAUAAUAUGCUUUUAUCGCAUGGUAGAAGUAUCAAAGCUUUUGCGGUACAGGAUGGACCCGCGUCUGAUUAGCUAGUUGGUAAGGUAACGGCUUACCAAGGCGACGAUCAGUAGCCGACCUGAGAGGGUGAUCGGCCACAUUGGAACUGAGACACGGUCCAA
rnacentral:rRNA from 1 species